GACCUUAUAGUCUAUUUAUGAUAUUAGACUGCAAAUCUAAAGAAGUGGUAAUUUACUAAGGUUU
rnacentral:tRNA from 1 species